rnacentral:rRNA from 1 species
GACGAACGCUGGCGGCGUGCUUAACACAUGCAAGUCGAACGGUAAGGCCCUUCGGGGUACACGAGUGGCGAACGGGUGAGUAACACGUGGGUGAUCUGCCCUGCACGUCGGGAUAAGCCUGGGAAACGGGGUCUAAUACCGGAUAGGACCACUGCCUGCAUGGGAGGUGGUGGAACGUCUUUGAGGUGUGGGAUGGGCCCGCGGCCUAUCAGCUUGGUGGUGGGAUGAUGGCCUACCAAGGCUACGACGGGUAGCCGGCCUGAGAGGGUGACCGGCCACCCUGGGACUGAGAUACGGCCCAGACUCCUACGGGAGGCAGCAGUGGGGAAUAUUGCACAAUGGGCGCAAGCCUGAUGCAGCGACGCCGCGUGAGGGAUGACGGCCUUCGGGUUGUAAACCUCUUUCAGCACCGACGAAGCGCAAGUGACGGUAGGUGCAGAAGAAGGACCGGCCAACUACGUGCCAGCAGCCGCGGUAA